rnacentral:rRNA from 1 species
CGCCCUAAGCAAAUAACUUAAGGUACCGCCUGCUCAAUGAUAAUUUCAAUAGCCGCAGUCAACUGUGCCAAGGUAGCAUAAUCAAUAGUCUAUUAAUUAUAGAAUAGAAUGAAUGGCCAAACGUAUUUUAAUCUCUAUCAAUUUCUCCCUAUAAAAUUAUAAUAAAAAUAACAAUAUUUUUAUAAAAAAGAAAGACGACAAGACCCUAACAAACUUAACCAAUGUUAAACUGGGAAGGUUAAUUAAACAACCCUUAAUUACCAAUAAAAAAAAAUCUAAUUUCAUAAUUACACAGUUACUGUAGGGAUAACAGCAUAAUUCCUAUUAAGAGCCCCCAUCCAAAUAAGAGUUUAUGACCUCGAUGUUGAAUGAGAAUUCUUUCUAUAACAAAUUAAGCAAAAAGAAAAGAAAGUCUGUUCGACUUUUAAACCCUCACA